rnacentral:rRNA from 1 species
UACGUAGGGUGCGAGCGUUAAUCGGAAUUACUGGGCGUAAAGCGUGCGCAGGCGGUUGGCAAAGUCAGCUGUGAAAGCCCCGGGCUUAACCUGGGAAUGGCGGUUGAAACCAGUCGACUAGAAUCUGGCAGAGGGGGGUGGAAUUCCACGUGUAGCAGUGAAAUGCGUAGAGAUGUGGAGGAACACCGAUGGCGAAGGCAGCCCCCUGGGCUGAGAUUGACGCUCAGGCACGAAAGCGUGGGGAGCAAACAGG